rnacentral:rRNA from 1 species
ACUCCUACGGGAGGCAGCAGUGGGGAAUAUUGCACAAUGGGGGAAACCCUGAUGCAGCCAUGCCGCGUGUGUGAAGAAGGCCUUCGGGUUGUAAAGCACUUUCAGUAGGGAGGAAGGUAGUGUAGUUAACACCUGCAUUAUUUGACGUUACCUACAGAAGAAGCACCGGCUAACUCCGUGCCAGCAGCCGCGGUAAUACGGAGGGUGCGAGCGUUAAUCGGAAUUACUGGGCGUAAAGCGCAUGCAGGCGGCCUGUUAAGUCAGAUGUGAAAGCCCGGGGCUUAACCUCGGAAUUGCAUUUGAAACUGGCAGGCUAGAGUCUUGUAGAGGGGGGUAGAAUUUCAGGUGUAGCGGUGAAAUGCGUAGAGAUCUGAAGGAAUACCGGUGGCGAAGGCGGCCCCCUGGACAGAUACUGACACUCAGAUGCG